rnacentral:lncRNA from 1 species
AUGGAGAUUUCAGGUUCUAGGUCACAGUCCCUUGCGGGGGUGUCCUGGCGGGACAGGGUCUGGGCAUGCUCUGCUCUGGACCCCUCCAGGAGGAAAAGCACAGCUUGUGCCACGUGUGUAUAUGUGCAUGCAUCACAUGCCCCGUGGCAUUCACACAUUGCACAUCAUGCACAUACAUGUGCCAUGCAUGUGCCACACGCCAUGCAUGUGCCCUGCCAACAUGCCACACGUGCUACAUGUGCCCAGUCACAUUUACAUGCCAUGCCGGCACACAUUGCACAAGUCACAUGCGUGUCACAGCGUGAGACCCCAGGAGCCCUGGGAUACCUGUCUGCAGUGGUGACAGGAGGGACAGCCUCUUUUGGGGGUGGCAAUGGUGAGUGUCACCCCAUUGCAGGGGGUGACCCUGGGGGAGUCCAAUGGCAUGAGGAAGAGGAUGGCUGUGUGCUUUGUGAGCCCCUUGCCCAGGGAAGGAAAGCCCUGUGUCAUGGUGGCAGGAGAUGGGGGUCAGCUUUGCUGGGGACAUGUUCAUAUGCUCAUGCUUGGAGGGUCUCCUCUGACCACGGGGUGAGGGUUUGCUCGCCAUGCGUGCUAAGGGGGCAUCUCCCUGCUGCGGGUAUUUGGGACCAAAACACAGCAGGAGACCUCCAUCCCUUGGGAAGCACAGGUGUGAGCAUUCAGCCACGUCACAAAGGGGUGGUGGGUGAAAUUUGCUCCAUCCCCAAAUCCCCCUGCCCUGGGAAGGGUCUGCAUGCAAGCACAGGCGCGCGCGUGUGCGAACCCCGCUGCGUUCGGGAGCCGGGUGCCGCAGGCGGCGGCUGCGGGGGGGUUUCCUGGGGGGCGAGCGCGUCUGGCGCAGAUGCCUGCCUGCGCCCGUGCUGCCUGCACCCACUCGGCUUCCGGGGAGGCCACAUCAAUGAGGCAAGUUGCUAUUUCAGUGCUGCCUCCGGCGAGGCUUCUCCUUUAGGGGCAGGCAUGUGUGGGCGCCUGCCUGCGUAUGUGCAUGGGCUUGUGCCUGCGUGCACGAGUGGGUGGCGAGGGGGCUUUGGGAGAGGUUUUGCCACGUCAGGGAAUUCACGCCGGGGGCUGGCGCACCCCCGCCGGCCCCGCUGCCUCUCCUGCCUGGCACGGCGUUGUGUAACUGUGCCGCUCCCCGUGCCGGGUCUCCGGCCACGUGGAGGGGAUGCUCUGGCUGCAGACCCUGCCUGCAGCCCAGUGACGUCCUCCUGGUGUCUCCCCUGCCGUGGUGGAUGGAGGGGUUUGCUGCCGGAAAAAGCCCUUGGCAGCCCCAAAAUAAUACAGAAAAAAAAAAAAAUCUGUCUGCUUUCCUUGUUCUCUCAUGUACAAUCCUUAAACAAAGUGUGUGCUCAGGGAGGUGUAGGGGAGGAAUUUGGGGUUUUCUCUGUGCACUCAGGGGGGACGGAGGGGACCAGCCCCUGGCACCACCGAGAGACCUGA